AAAAAAAAAAAAAGUAAUUGAUUAAAUAUAUACUGUGGACUUUUACAAAACAGCUUAGCUUCUGGGAGGUCUGGGGUAUAGCUGGGCCUUGGGAACACCUGGAACCAAGCUUUGAGUGCCCUCAAGAGUCUCAUGGUUUAUCCAUUUUUCUGCCUGCCCUGGCUUCCUUCUCUUUGAAAUCAGAGGAAUUUUUCUCCAAAAGUCUGCUAGUAGACCUGAGUUUGAAUUAUAAGAGUUUCCUGAUUCCAGUUCUAAAAUUCUAGGAAAAGGACACUGAUUGACUUAGCAUGGGCCAUGUGCCUGCUUAUAGACCAAUUAAGUAAUACGAGGAAAUGAAUAUGACAGUAACAAUAUCUUGGCUCCGGUGACCACCCUUGGUGGUCAGUCAGUUGUAUCCAGGAAGUGGAGUCAUAGCAGCUUCCAUCAUAACCAUGUGUGAAAUUGGCCAAGUUACUUCAUUUUUCUGUGCCUUUCUCCUUUACUUCAUCUGUAAAAUGAGAUUAAAUUGUUCCCCUCUCAUAGAGUUAUUUGAGGAUUUUAUGAGAAAAUGCAACAUUCUUUGUAUAGUGGAAAACUGGAAACAAUAUGAUAUAAACAUUCAUUACUGUAUUAGGCUGUUUGUGCAUUGCUAUAAAGAAAUACUUAACCUGACCAACAUGGCAAAACCCCAUCUCUACUAAAAAUACAAAAAUUAGCCGGGCGUGGUAGUGCACAUCUGUAAUCCCAGCUACUCAGCAGGCUGAGGUGGGAGAAAUCACUUGAACCCAGGAGGUGGAGGCUGCAGUGAGCUGAGAUCGCGCCACUGCACUCCAGCCUGAGCAAUAGACCAAGACCCUGUCUCAAAAAAAAAAAAAAAAAAGAAAGAAAGAAAAGGAAAAAAGAAAAGAAAAGAAAAAGAAAAAAAAGAGAAAUACCUGACACUGGAUAAUUUAUCAAGAAAAGAGGUUUAAUUAGCUCAUGGUUCUGCAGGCUGUACAGGAAGCAUAACACAGGCAUGUGCUUCUGGGAAGGCCUCAGGAAGCUUACAAUCAUGGUAGAAAGUGAAGGGGGAGCAGGUAUCUCACAUGGUGGGAACAGGAGAGAGAGCGAGAGAGUGAGAGUGAGGUGCCAUGCUUUUAAACAGCCAGAUCUUGCAAGAAGUCACUCACUAUUGCAAGGACAGCACCAAGAGGAUGGUGGGAUGACGCUAAGUCAUUUAUGAGAAAGCCACCCCUAUGAUCCAAUCAUCUCCCACCAGGCCCCAAAUCCAAUACUGGGGAUUACAAUUCAACAUGAGAUUUGGGCGGAGACACACAUCCAAACCAUAACAAUCACCAAGGGACAAGUUAAAGAAGUUUGUGGGCUCAAGCAGUUGACUUCUAUGCAGCCAUUAAAAUAUAUGUCCCCAACAGAAGGCAGGCUUCCACGUAUAACACAUGUGACCAUUUUCCCCAGGCCCUCUAGUUUGCAAAGGUGAGGGCAGAGCUCAACCUGUAGUGUAGAGCCUGAGACAGAGGGACCAUGCUCCCUGUGUCCUAAUGGGAAAGGGCUCUUCUUGAGUAGAAAGGUGAUUACCAAGUUUUGCUUUCUCCUAUAGAUGAAACAUGAGCAAAAACAGGGAAAUGGAGACCUGGAAAAGAGAGGGCACAGAAACGGCCAGGCAAAUGUAGCAUUUCCCUACCACGGCACCAGGAGGCUCUAAAGGGAUGAAUAUGGCUGUACUUGGAAGGCCAAGGAAAUCCUAGGAGCAUGGAAUGAGGUGGAACAAUCUAAUUCUGCUCUCACCUGACUACAGCGUAAGCCACCUGAGUAGAGCUCUACACCUGACUACAGCAAAAGAAAGACGCCAAUAGGAAAUGACAGCAGAAAAAAGUCUUAUUUCAACUCAACUUUAUUUUCCCUUCUCCUUUAUGGUAACUGAAGGUGAAUGAGAUAAUUACACACAGUUUUCC
rnacentral:lncRNA from 10 species